GAAAUGCGAUAGGUAAUGUGAAUUGCAGAAUUCAGUGAAUCAUCGAAUCUUUGAACGCACCUUGCGCUCCUUGGUAUUCCUUGGAGCAUGCCUGUUUGAGUAUCAUGAAAUCUUCAAAGUAAAUCUUUUGUUAACUCAAUUGGUUUCUACUUUGGUAUUGGAGGUCUUUGCAGCUUCACACCUGCUCCUCUUUGUUCAUUAGCUGGAUCUCAGUGUUAUGCUUGGUUCCACUCGGCGUGAUAAGUUAUCUAUCGCUGAGGACACUGUAAAAGGUGGCCAAGGUAAAUGCAGAUGAACCGCUUCUAAUAGUCCAUUGACUUGGACAAUACUUUUAUGAUCUGAUCUCAAAUCAGGUAGGACUACCCGCUGAACUUAAGC
rnacentral:misc_RNA from 1 species